GAUGGUGUGGCAGAUCUAGAAAUGCGGUAAAUUGUAAAUUUGUUAAUGAAGGUUUGAUUCCUUUCUCCAUUA
rnacentral:tRNA from 1 species